rnacentral:rRNA from 1 species
CAGUAGCCGCGGGAAUACGGAGGGGGCUAGCGUUGUUCGGAAUUACUGGGCGUAAAGCGCACGUAGGCGGCUUGGUAAGUUAGAGGUGAAAGCCCGGAGCUCAACUCCGGAAUUGCCUUUAAGACUGCCGAGCUAGCAGGUGAGAGAGGUAAGUGGAAUUCCGAGUGUAGAGGUGAAAUUCGUAGAUAUUCGGAAGAACACCAGUGGCGAAGGCGGCUUACUGGCUCAUACUGGACGCUGAGGUGCGAAAGCGUGGGGAGCAAACAGGAUUAGAUACCCCGGUAGUCCCUGUCUCUUAUAA